rnacentral:rRNA from 1 species
UGCCAGCAGCCGCGGUAAUACGAACCGUCCAAACGUUAUUCGGUAUCACUGGGCUUAAAGCGUGCGUAGGCGGCUUGGUAGGUGAGAUGUGAAAGCCCACGGCUCAACCUCGGAAUAGCAUUUGAAACUGGUCAUCUAGAGUAUUGUAGAGGGGGGUAGAAUUUCAGGUGUAGCGGUGAAAUGCGUAGAGAUCUGAAGGAAUACCAGUGGCGAAGGCGGCCUGCUGGACGGUGACUGACGCUGAGGCGCGAAAGCGUGGGGAGCAAACAGGAUUAGAUA